GUUAACCAACGAAGAAAGACCUACGAAGGUUAACCAGCGACGAAAAAACCUAAACCUAUCGCCCGCUCCCUCGCGCCCCUGUUGCUCCCUCCUCGAUCCCGAUCUGGAUCGAGGGGACGAGGAGCUCCUGCCUCCCCGACGGCCGGCCUCCUCCUCGCCCCGCCGCUGCAUCCGCGCCGCCACGGGCUCUGGAGCCAGGGAAGCCAUGGCCUGAGCUCGGCCUCGAGGUCCCCCCGCCGUCUCCUGCAGCUUCUGCCCCGCCGCCUCAACGCCCGAGCUCGCCAUCGCACCAACCUCGGCGCCGCGCCGCCGCCGGCUCUGGUCGCCUCCACCUCCGCUCCAGGCAACCCUCGGUCGCCGGCUCGCUGGAGCACGACGGCAGACGAUGGAUGCCCUGGUUGUGUGCGACGGAUGCAGUUCUUACGCGCAAGCUAGGGUUGGAGCCGCCAGCUCUUCAUCCUGCCCGCCGGCGGCGAGUCUUCCCGUCCCGCACUGCCGCCUCCCCGUUAUCACAGCAUGGUCAAAACAAUGGUGCCUUCACCCUUGCUCGUGCCUCAACCCACAUGGUCAUCUUUGAGACGUGGUAUUCAGUCACAUGACAGAGUUCUCUUUAUCCUUGAGGUCAGAUGCGGCAACUAGCGACAUGUGCUGGAACUUCUGGCAUCGCUGGCGACGGCAUCACCUGCAUCGACCUCUCCCUGGUCGCCUUCGAGAGUGUGUGCGGCCGACCAUCAAGCUUGUUAUGACGCACUUUGAAUUUCCGAGCAAGUCGCAGCCUUUUCAGAUUCAUCAACACAGGUUACAUCAGUAGUCAAUAUGGUUCAGAUGCAUAAUAGUACGUACUUCAUUUCCUUUUUGUUGUGUACGGUGACCUACAACAUGGAUCAUAUAUAUCGGUUAUCUUUCAGGUUCAGUUUGCUGUGGCGAAUUCUUCUUGAAUUUGUUGCAGCAAACUUGUGGUCAUGUAUGGUUUUUAGUUUUGUAAGCAUGCAUAGUUUAGAAGUUAGAAAGCUCGUUCAUGUAUUGUUCUAAACUGAAAGUUUAAGUGGCUUUUCCACCCAUGGUAUUGUGGUGGUCAUAAUAGCACACCUCACAAUUAUUAUGGCCAGAUCUACAAGCACUAAGCGUUGUGUUUUUUAGCCCCCUCUAUUUCUCCUGGGCAUCAAUCUAUGCGCAACAAGCUCUUCAGUGCUUGAUGACAAAUAAAGGUUGGAUGUUAGAUAUUUGCUUGAUUUGAAUGAGCCAUUUUGCUGUCAGCUAAACUGUUAAAAGUCAGAUGUAAGAUUAUGUUUCUUGGCACAUGAGUUAUUUUUCAGUCAACGCGUGGCGAGUCCACUUCGAACUGAUAUAUGCACUUUUUAUUUGAAACUGAACCACCAUGGUUUAAUUUUAUUUUCAUUUGGACAAGUUACCCCAAGUAUCAUCAGUUCAUGAUGACUGGUUUGGUGUGAUGAAUUGAUCCUGGUGCUGAUUUAAGAGUUUUUUAUGACGCUGUCUUGUAAGGGAGUAAGGUAUGGUAUCUAUGUGGUUGUUAUUUUAGCUCUUACAGAUUCCCAUAUAUGACAUGCUAAUUGUUUUUAGCUCUUGAUAUAGUUAAACUUUUUUUUUUUGAAACGGAGGCAAAAGAUUUGCCUCAUCCAUUAAAUGGGAGGAGAAUAGAGUUAAACUUUGGAUGCACCAGUGCCUGAUGCAUAUGUUUGUUUACUUGGUUUGAACUCUGAAUGAUAUGUUGUUAUCCUGAUUGCAUGCCUGAUGAGUUGGUUCUGCUGGUAUUUUGAGGAGGCAAGCUGUGGUUUUACUCCUGGCCCUGAGAAGGGUGAACUAGGCCAUAGCGAGGGCGCCUUCAGGAACAUCGAGUCAGGGUGCCUCACUUUCUAUUUCAGUCUGCGAGGGUGAUACGUAUGAAGGAAAAGAGCCAGAGCGGCGCUUGGAUAAAAGUCAGUGAUGGAAUUUGUUUGGCAUAUGCGGAAAUCUUGGUAAAGAUCUCGACACACCCUGAACAAUGAGCACAUGUUACCAGCCACAUUCCACACAGGAUGUGUUCUUUUCAAAACAAAGAUACCCUGAUACAUGAUUAUUCCUCUUUCAAGUUCUUGAUCCUUGAAGAUACUUGCUAGGUUUUCAACAUCACGAAUUUCAUACUUAUGGAGUGGAGCUACCAAAAUAUCUAUUGAGGUGCUAUCCAAGUGUUGUGAUUAUUUAGCACACACAACUUGCAGGGAGAUAACUCUAUACUAUGAAGACUUUAAAAUACGAGAAAUAUGUCGAAGCACAGAAUAUAUUCCAUAUGCAGUGGACUAACAGAACGACACAACACAUAAAAAGAGGAGUAUAAGUGGAAACCUUUCUUUCUCUUUAAAUUCUUGAGGAUGGUAACAUUAUGAUGAAGGUGGAACCAUAUAGAGAUGUGUAUUUUUAAUUGAGAUAUUUUCAGGAGUACCUUUGCAAAGCUGAUAUAUCUUUCUUUUACAA